UGAGGGACUCAAUGACACCUUUGCACUGGCUUGUGAAUGGUGGGUCAGAUUUAACUAAGAAGUAUGAUCAAUAUUUAUCAAUGAGCCCACAUUACUUAGAGAUCGAGUCGCUGCAAUAUGCUUAGAGAAGCAUCUAGACAAAAGAUUGUCCAUGCAUCGAUAUGCAUAUCAUUAAUAUCUGUUAGAUGAGGUGUGCAGUAUCGGUGUGACCAUAGCACUCAUUAGAAAUUUAGUUGUUGCAUUAGAAUUUUCGUAUCUCCAUCC
rnacentral:lncRNA from 1 species